rnacentral:lncRNA from 1 species
CACAAACAGAAAACGAUUACGAGGAAUCACUGAGUGUUCUUGUGCAAAGCAAGGACACUACCAAAGUGGUAUUUUACCGGGCUGUCUUGCGGCCUUCAAAGACCAAAUAGCUAAAUUUGUUUUUUGAUCUGCAAAGCCCCAGGUGGUUAGCACAAACGAGCCCGAGCCCGGAAGAGCCUGCAGCCCCAGACUUCGUGGGCGGGGCAGGCAGCUGUCAGUAAUUUCACUGCAGCCCCAGGAGACCACUCUGGGUCAACUCUGCACUUUUUUCAAUCAAAUCUCCUUGCCUCAGAGGGAGACCCCCUGAGGACAGAAAGUAGACCUGGGGCUUCUCUGCCAACCUCGAGGGCUCAGCUAAGCAUGGGAAAGGGGCAGCUGAUGUGUGAUGCUUCAGAGUUGAGGAAAACGUCCCCAUCCUGGCCGGGAGAUGCUGUGCAGCCGUAAGGACAGAGUGGACACGAAUGGAACAAGACCCCUAAACUUGCAGCUCUCUUUGCAGCCUGGUGAAUCCAGCAAGCAAACUGCACAGGCUUGAAGUCAGUACAAUAAAAAUCUGUGCUGUCCCAUGCAGCAGCCAUGCAGGAUGUCUUCAGCCUGUGUUAGAAUGACGAUGCGACCCCUCAGCUCGUGACUGAAGACGCCGGCUGGACAGAUGCACAACAGGAAAAGAUAAAGGGUAGCUGGCUCUCAUGUUUCCCAGCUGCAUGUCUUAGAGAUUGAGGGAACAAUUAACAAACCUGGUCCUCACCUCCCUCCACACAUCGAGAGCAUCAGCAUCUCUGAACUGGUCUGAGAUGGAACAGAAGCUGUGCGUAACCUCACACCCCUGGGAGCAGCUCCAUCAGAGGGCUCUGCAGAACUGUUUCCCGGGGUUCCACCUCCUCAC